GUCUGGGCACUGUGGUUCUCUCCCACGUGGCCUCUACUCACUCACUAAUCUAGUCUGACAUUUACAGGGUGACUGGCUUCCAAGAGUGAAAAAGCAGGUGCUAGGAGACCUCCAGAGAUCUCAGCUCAGAAGUCUCAGAAUGUCACUUCUGCAUUUUAUUAAAGCAAGUCACAAGCCAGACCAGACUCAAGGGGUGGGGAAACAAACUCCACCUCUUGAUGGGAAAAGGAACACUUGCAUACAGACAUAGGAAGCAUUGUUGGCAGCCAUUUUGGGAGACAACUGCCACACCUUUCAAGAGCUAAUCACGACAGAAUGUUAGAAGACUCCUCCAUCUUCCAUGGAGAAGAAAUGUCCCAAUCUCCUGGUAUCUAAUCCAAGGAUGGAUUUUUUCCAUUGUUUUCCACUACUGAGUUGGGGAGAAGGAGGCAGCAUCAGCAUUAGGGUACAAGUGAAGGUGAAUAGAGCUGAGGAUGUUUCACAAUAAUAGCAUUCUAAUAUGACUGUCUUCCAUUCUGUUCUUCCCAAGCUUCCACUUUUAGCUUGCUUUUGUGAAUCAAGACCGUGGAUCAUUCAAAAUAGUUUUUUCUUUUUCUUCUUUUUUUUUUUUUUGAGACAGGGUCUCCCUCUGUCCCCCAGGCUGGAGUGUAGUGGCACAAUCACAGCUCACUGCAGCCCCAACCUAGGUGCAAGUGAUCCUUCCACUUCAGCCUCCUGAGUAGCUGGGACUAUAGGCACAGCUAUAGUCAUCACCACACCUGGCUAAUUUUUAUAGAGAUGGGGUCUUGGUAUGUUGCCCAUGCUGGUCUUGAACGCUUGGGCUCAAGCAAUCCUCCCCGCUUGGCCUCCCAAAGUGCUGGGAUUACAGGCAUGAGCCACCAUGCCUGGUCAUUUAAAAUAUUUUGUUGGUAUUUUAUAGAUUACUUUUAACUUCCUGGAUUUUAGAACUAAGCAGAAUUAGCAUGCUCUGAUGCCUUAUCCCACCUGUCACAGUAACUUUCCUCUAUAAGAUGGUACAUUUUACUAACCCUUUGUAAGUACAUACUUAAAAUGCUUAAGCGAUGAAGGGAAGUCUGGAUUCUUACUGUCUUCAGCAAGAUUAGGCUCUAGCCCUCUCACUUAAGAAUACCUCUUGGGAGUAAUUCUUUUCUCUGAAUUAUUCAUGUGUUUACUAAUGGUAUCCAUGGUAAUAAUGGUAUCCAAAGGCAUAGUUGAAAUGUAUUAGCCUUUACUGUUAUUCCUGUGAAGGCUUAUAGUGUUGGCAUCCAUUCCCUCUGGAUUUCGAGUCUGUGUUCACAGUUGAUAAUCUCACAUUGAGCCAUGAUACUCUUUGUAUCAUUAUCAUUACCUGAUAUAAAGAAACCAGACAGACCAUUACCUGAUACAAAGAAACUUCACAGUGAAUUCAUAGAAAAGACAGAAAAAAGUUUUGCUGAAUAUGUCGUAUAUACAUAUAUAUAAUAUUUUAUUUUAAAAUGUCAUUGAACAUAUACAUUUCUUUAGCUUUUUCCAGGGGACAUUGCACCUAAGUUUCAAAACACACAAAAUAGAUCCCCUUUACUAAACAGUUUUCAUUUUGGGGUUACAAAAAAGUCAAUGUUUCACAAUCACAAAGCAUAAAGGUACAUGGUUCUGAAACAAUUUCCAGGCAGAUUUCUCUCAUUCACUGUACUAGGGUAGUUUUGGAAACCCAGACCAUGAUCCAUUCCUUACAAAUGAUCUCCACCAUGGGCCUCCCUGGGUCUCCAGAAAAAAAACAAAGAAAACUGGGGGCAAAACAGGAGUAAAAUAAUAACCUCAGGACUCAGGAAACAAACACAAAAUACUUGUGGGAGAUCAGAAAAGUAGAGGACACAGGUUCUCCUUCAAGUACAUCACAGUAGAAAACUACAGCACAUUUACAGCCUUAUUUGGUCACUGUCUACCUGGUUGCUACAUGAACAAAACUUCACCUAAGACACAGAAGAAAAAUUAAAGCUAUUUACACAGAUAACACUGUGGAUUCGAAAGAGCAGUCCUCUGCAGACCGGCACUCCAUCUGACAAAAGCCACAGUGCUCACAGAAGAGGCAAGUCAGUCUGCUCGCGUAGCGUCCUUUGAAAAAUCCCAGUGUACAAACAUGUGCCACGUCACCACACAAAACCAAAGUCUGCUCAGAGAGGUGGGCUAUGGUAUGCAUAACCACAGCAGAACACACCCUCCAC
rnacentral:lncRNA from 10 species